CGGAGAAUAUUUUCUGGGAGUCAUGGACCUCAUCCACAAUAAGAUGAAACACAUGUGGGUUUUCCUCUUUCUGGUAGCGGCUCCCAGAGGUGCCUUGUCCCAGGUGCAGCUUCAGGAGUCAGGGCCAGGACUGGUGAAGCCCUCACAAACCCUAUCCCUCACCUGUGCUGUCUCUGGAUUAUCUUCAAGCAGCUAUGGUGUGGGCUGGGUCCGCCAGCCUCCAGGGAAGGGGCUAGAAUGGGUUGGUGCAAUAGAUUAUGAUGGGGACACAUACUAUAACCCAACUCUGAAGUCCCGAGUCAGCAUCACCAGGGACACCUCCAAGAGCCAAGUUUAUUUAAAACUGAACUCUGUGAAUUCUGAAGACACGGCCGUGUAUUACUGUGCAGGAGACACAGUGAGAGGAAGUCAAUGUGAGCCCAGACAAAAACCUCCCCAUAGGAUGUCAGUAGAGGAGUAGUCUCUAGGGGGCGUUCAGGGUGCACUAAGCUUAGUGGCCCAUCUU